UCUCAUCUCUCUAUCACAUAUCUGAAGCACCAUCUCCCUCGCGCUCUCGUGGUCACCGAGCUCGCGUUGUCGAUGUCACAAGCUCGCCGAGCUCGCCAUUUCCCUCAUGUUACUACGCUUUCCAAAUUCGUGUGUCAGAGUUCUGUGGUAGGUGGCAUUCAAGGUUAGCCUCUUUACCCUCAGCCUCCUCACCUUCUCCCUCUCUUUCUCUCAUUUCUUUGAUUCCCAAAUAUCAGAAUCCCUAAUUUCUUCCACUAUUUCUUCAAUUCCCAAAUUAGACACAUAAAUUAGAGGAUCUAAAACACAAAUUUCAUCCUCUUCCUCUUUUUAAGGGUUUAUUGGAAGAUGAUUUGAUGCCCGUUGAGCGUUGCUUACUGGGAAAAUAGCGGAGUAGAACAACAAAAUCAGCUGGGAAAUUUGGCGUUUUGUUAUUUGCUCAACAGUAAAAAUUGAAGGGAUUUGUAGGAAGCAAGAUUGAGAAAGAGACUUUAAAGCAUAAUCUUUAACACCGAGGAAUUAAUGGUUAUAAAAAUCAAGUUUUUCUUAUUGGUGAUAUAAAGAUGGAAGCAGAGAGUCAAAUGAGGGAGGUAAAAUAUGCUGCUGAUAUUUGCUCUAUUAGGGAAGCAGAAGCACGCAUCAAGCCAUUCAUACACCAAACUCCUGUCUUGUCCUCUGAAUCUUUGAAUGCUCUUGCAGGAAGACAGCUGUUUUUCAAAUGUGAAUGUUUUCAAAAGGGGUUGCUCCAGUGCUUCUCACACUGCCAUGCAUAUUCAUUUUCCCAACUGAGUUUGCUAUAUGGGAUUCUAUUUCAGCUUUUUUAUGGGUUGGUGGGAAGCUGGACUGCUUAUCUCAUCAGUCUGCUAUAAGUUGAUACAGAACUAGAAGGGAAAGAGAAAAGGUUGAUUUUAGGAAUCAUGUAAUUUAGUAUACUCCGUUAUUUAGGAAGUAUGUAUGUGAUAGGAAAAAAGAUUGAUUAACUAUGUAAUAAUAUUGAAUCUUCAAGUUUUAUGAAAUAAAUAAUUUUUGAGUGUA